rnacentral:tRNA from 1 species
GGGGUUGUAGCUCAGUGGUAGAGCGCUCGCCUAGCAUGUGUGAGACCCUGGGUUCGAUCCUCAGCACCACA